AUAUGUUAGAAUACAAUAAAUUUGAUUGAUUGCAAGUGCUAGAGAUGCGUGAAAAGUGUUUAGAAGUGUGGAGAAAGACUUGUUGAAAUUGGGUCCCAAAUGGGCUAAGAACUCGGAAACAUUGCGUUGAACCACUAAAUGACUUAUCUACUGUUUUUUGGGGUUAGAAUAUGUUAGAAAACAAUAAAUUUGAUUGAUUACAAGUGCUAGAGAUACAUGAAGAGUGGUUUCAAGUAUUGAGAAAGACUUGUUGAAAUUGGGUCCCAAAUGGGCUAAGAACUCGGAAACAUUGCUUUAAACAACUAAAUGACUUAUCUAGUGUUGUCUGGGGUUAAAAUAUGUUAGAAUACAAUGAAUUUGAUUGAUUACAAGUGCUAUAGAUGCAUGAAGAGUGUUUGGAAGUAUGGAGAAAGACUUGUUGAUAUUGGGUCCCAUUUGGGCUAAGAACUCGGAAACAUUGCGUUGAACAACUAAAUGACUUAUCUAGUGUUGUUUGGGGUUAGAAUAUGUUAGAAUACAAUGAAUUUGAUUAAUUACAAGUGUUAGAGAUGCAUGAAGAGUGUUUUGAAGUAUGGAGAAAGACUUGUUUAAAUUGUG
rnacentral:lncRNA from 1 species